rnacentral:rRNA from 1 species
GGGCCCGCACAAGCGGUGGAGCAUGUGGCUUAAUUCGAUGCAACGCGAGGAACCUUACCUGGGCUAAAUCCACAGUGAUGUCUUCUGGAAACAGGAGGUCCCUUAGGGGCACUAUGGAAGGUGCUGCAUGGCUGUCGUCAGCUCGUGUCGUGAGAUGUUGGGUUAAGUCCCGCAACGAGCGCAACCCUCGUCCUAUGUUGCCAGCACGUAAUGGUGGGAACUCAUGGGAUACUGCCGGGGUCAACUCGGAGGAAGGUGGGGAUGACGUCAAAUCAUCAUGCCCCUUAUGUCUUGGGCUUCACGCAUGCUACAAUGGCCGGUACAGAGGGCUGCAAUACCGCAAGGUGGAGCGAAUCCCAAAAAGCCGGUCUCAGUUCGGAUUGAGGUCUGCAACUCGACCUCAUG